UGAUCCUGGCUCAGGACAAACGCUGGCGGCGUGUAUUAGGCAUGCAAGUCGCACGGACCUUCGGGUCAGUGGCGGACGGGUGAGUAACACGUGGGUAACCUGCCCUUCAGUGGGGAAUAACUCGCCGAAAGGCGAGCUAAUACCGCAUUCGACUUCCGGUGAGAGACCGGAUAGUGAAAGCAGCAAUGCGCUGAAGGAGGGGCCCCGCGGCCGAUUAGCUUGUUGGUGGGGUAAUAGCCUACCAAGGCGACGAUCGGUAGCUGGUCUGAGAGGAUGGUCAGCCACACGGGGACUGAGAUACGGCCCCGACUCCUACGGGAGGCAGCAGCUAAGAAUCUUGCGCAAUGGGCGAAAGCCUGACGCAGCAACGCCGCGUGGGGGACGAAGGCCUUCGGGUCGUAAACCCCUUUGUCGAGGAAGAAGUUACUGACGGUACCUCGCGAAUAAGCCACGGCUAACUACGUGCCAGCAGCCGCGGUAAUACGUAGGUGGCAAGCGUUGUCCGGAUUACGUGGCGUAAAGCGCCGC
rnacentral:rRNA from 1 species